ensembl:lncRNA
GGCCCGUGGGAGGCAGGGCCGCUACUGGCCAGUGGACACAGCGGGCGCUGCCGCUCGCCCGCCCGGACCUGAGGCGCAAGCAGAACAGCCACACCGGGAAAAUGCUGCCAGCUAUUCCCAGACAGGUGCCAGGGUCCUUCAACAGCAAGAGGGCUGUCAUCCUCUGGAAAAGCUGAAAGUCAGGCACGCCAAGAGAGUGUGAUGUCUUGCAUUGGGAGAAGAAUGGCUCUGGGUCGCCCCAGGUGGAGCAGGUGUGAGGCCCCAAGCAAUCCCGGCAGGCCAGCCAGCCCCAGCCAGGAACCUUGACCUGCACCUAGGACACACGCCACUGCAGACAGACAGACUCUACGUGUGUGGCCACAGGGACACAACAUGCACCCUGAUCAAUUGCUCAUAAAUAAUGUUAUUGCUCAUAAUAAUC